AUUGAACGCUGGCGGCGGGCUUAACACAUGCAAGUCGAGCGGAGAUGAGGUGCUUGCACUUUAUCUUAGCGGCGGACGGGUGAGUAAUGCUUAGGAAUCUGCCUAUUAGUGGGGGACAACAUUCCGAAAGGAAUGCUAAUACCGCAUACGUCCUACGGGAGAAAGCAGGGGAUCUUCGGACCUUGCGCUAAUAGAUGAGCCUAAGUCGGAUUAGCUAGUUGGUGGGGUAAAGGCCUACCAAGGCGACGAUCUGUAGCGGGUCUGAGAGGAUGAUCCGCCACACUGGGACUGAGACACGGCCCAGACUCCUACGGGAGGCAGCAGUGGGGAAUAUUGGACAAUGGGGGGAACCCUGAUCCAGCCAUGCCGCGUGUGUGAAGAAGGCCUUAUGGUUGUAAAGCACUUUAAGCGAGGAGGAGGCUACUGAGACUAAUACUCUUGGAUAGUGGACGUUACUCGCAGAAUAAGCACCGGCUAACUCUGUGCCAGCCGCCGCCGUAACAC
rnacentral:rRNA from 1 species